rnacentral:rRNA from 1 species
UACGGGGGGGGCAAGCGUUGUUCGGAAUUACUGGGCGGAAAGGGCUCGUAGGUGGCCAACUAAGUCAGACGUGAAAUCCCUCAGCUUAACUGGGGAACUGCGUCUGAUACUGGAUGGCCUGAGUUUGGGAGAGGGAUGCGGAAUUCCAGGUGUAGCGGUGAAAUGCGUAGAUAUCUGGAGGAACACCGGUGGCGAAGGCGGCAUCCUGGACCAACACUGACACUGAGGAGCGAAAGCCAGGGGAGCAAACGGG